AACAACUCCAGUGCAACCUCACAGGGAAACGCUUUUCUAUUAAUCUUUGAUUUUCGGUGCUAUGAGUUCCUGGCACUUCAGCACUUCAUGAAGAAGCAAUGCUGCAGAAAGAGUGUUGGGGGAUGUGAAGGACUGAGAGACCUGGGCUAUCAUCCCAAUUUCAUCACUGUAAUUUCCAGGUGACCCUGGGCAGGUAACUGAAAAAAAAAAAUCGUUCUUACCAUGGCAACCUCCGUGCUGGCUCCAGAAAAUGCCAUUUCUUAUUGUGCUUUGGUAUACUGAACGUCAAUGGAACAUUUCUGUAGAGAUCAAUUUUUUUAAGUAAUCAUCUUUUUUAUAUAUGUUAUUUAACUCCUAUCCUUCAAUGCACCAACAUUCUUAAAUGGCAAAUGAAAAUUGCGCUUUCCCAGUAGAGUGAAGUAAUUCUUAAACCAGGGCUUCCAACAGGUUGAGGGAAUGUGAAUUGGUUUUCUCGCUGGACCCAGGUGAUAUUUCUUCUGUAUUUAUGAAAGCAAGGAGGCUGCUGUCCCCUUGCAGAACCAAGCCACCCAAGCCUCUAAGAGCAUGAAAGCAGCCUGCUAGGAAGGAGAUGGGGUAUAGCAAAAUAAAUGUUAUUACGAAUUUUAGCA